rnacentral:rRNA from 1 species
GUGCCAGCAGCCGCGGUAAUACGUAGGAUGCAAGCGUUGUCCGGAAUUAUUGGGCGUAAAGAGCGCGCAGGCGGUCUAUCAAGUCAGAUGUGAAAUAUCCCGGCUUAACCGGGAGGGGUCAUUUGAAACUGGUAGACUAGAGUACAGCAGAGGAUAGUGGAAUUCCCGGUGUAGUGGUGAAAUGCGUAGAUAUCGGGAGGAACACCAGUGGCGAAGGCGACUAUCUGGGCUGAAACUGACGCUGAGGCGCGAAGGCUAGGGGAGCAAACAGGAUUAGAUACCCUGGUAGUCC